UACGUAGGGUGCAGGCGUUAAUCGGAAUUACUGGGCGUAAAGCGUGCGCAGGCGGCUCCUUAAGUCAGAUGUGAAAGCCCCGGGCUUAACCUGGGAACUGCGUUUGAAACUGGGGAGCUAGAGUGUAGAAGAGGGGGGUGGAAUUCCAGGUGUAGCAGUGAAAUGCGUAGAGAUCUGGAGGAACACCGAUGGCGAAGGCAGCCCCCUGGGCUAACACUGACGCUCAUGCACGAAAGCGUGGGGAGCAAACGGG
rnacentral:rRNA from 1 species